rnacentral:rRNA from 1 species
CAGAGACUGCAAGCGUUAUUCGGAUUCACUGGGCGUAAAGGGUGCGCAGGCGGCCGUGUGUGUGAGGCGUGAAAGCCCGGGGCUUAACCCCGGAAUUGCACCUCAAACUACAUGGCUAGAGCAUUGGAGAGGGUAGCAGAAUUCAUGGUGUAGCAGUGAAAUGCGUAGAUAUCAUGAGGAAUACCAGAGGCGAAGGCGGCUACCUGGACAAUUGCUGACGCUCAGGCACGAAAGCGUGGGGAGCAAAAAGGGAUUAGAUACCCCUGUAGUCCACGCCCUAAAACGGUGCACACUAGGUCUUGGCGGAUUCGACCCCAUCAGGGCCCAAGCUAACGCGUUAAGUGUGCCGCCUGAGGACUACGGCCGCAAGGCUA